UACGUAGGGAGCAAGCGUUGUUCGGAUUUAUUGGGCGUAAAGAGCUCGUAGGCGGCUUGUCGCGUCGAAUGUGAAAUCCCGUGGCUCAACUGCGGGUCUGCAUUCGAUACGGGCAGGCUAGAGUUCGGUAGGGGAGACUGGAAUUCCUGGUGUAGCGGUGAAAUGCGUAGAUAUCUGGAGGAACACCGGUGGCGAAGGCGGCAUCCUGGACCGGCAUUGACGCUGAGGAGCGAAAGCCAGGGGAGCAAACGGG
rnacentral:rRNA from 1 species